ACUCAUCAGCAGUGGGGCUCUCCGGUGAGGCGGCGGGUGGUAGCGGUCGGCUCCCGACGGUUGGGCUGUCUUCCUCGAUGAGGGGCUCUGGCAGUUAGGGUUAGGGUUUGAGUGCGAAUGGAGUUAUUUACACCCAUCCGCUUUUGAUCUGGGCCGUCCGUCGCUUUUGAUCUGGACUGUCCGAUCGUGAUUAAAUAGAGAGUGAAUCUCGACCGUUCAUCGCGAUUCAAUAUGGGCCAUCCGUACGCGAUGCAAUCUGAGCCGUUUAUGCGCAAUGCAAUCUGGGCCGUCCGCGCGUGUUUUCAAUCUAGGCUUUCCGUGCGUGCGGGAAUGGAUCUCAGCCAUUCGAUCAUGCACAUGCGGAUUGCCCAUGUGGCCCC
rnacentral:lncRNA from 1 species